UCCCCGUGUCUCUCCCCUCGUCCAAUCCCCACGUCGUCUCCCCGCGUCCAAUCCCCUUCCUGCCCACUUCCCUUCUCCUCCCCCACAGCCAUCUCCUGGCCGAGCCGCCGCUGCUCCUUCUCCUGGCUGAGCUCGCGGAGCUCCGCGGCUUCUCCUCGCCGAGCAGCCCCGUGCCUUCUCCUGUGCCAUGCCCUAGCUCAUCCUUUCCCACAGCAAGAAAAGUUCCUUCUCUAGGUCCUGGAGGAAGAAGAAGUGGUGGCAAGAAGAGGAGUAAGAGGAGGAGAAGGAAGAAGAGAAGAUUCCCACCUUCCCUGUCUGUUGCCUCUUGAUCCAGAUCCAAAGGUGAUUGUGAAAGAAGUCACCGAACUCAAAUCCUUAGAGUUCAACAAGGGGUUGGCCGCUGCUCUUCAAGCGCCAUACAGUUUGAUGGACUACGUUGAUACCCAGGUUGAGGACUACCGGGGCAUACUCGAAGCAAAGGGACUGAAUUCUACCCAGCUGGCUGCGGCUCAGGUGAUUUUUCUGUACACUGUGGUGGGUAACACGAAACUGAAACUAUCUCAGACUAACAAGGAGGACGCUGAACUUGCUCAGGAUAUAUCUGUUGGGACCAAGUAAUGAACAGUUAGAAGAAAAAGUUAUCUCUCUAGAGCCUUUGGAGACUUCAGCGGAAGGGAUAAUAAAGAUUCAUCUUUUUUGAAGUCUCGGAUCGAAGUGCCUCGACCCCAUCUCCGCGGUCAACCAGAACCAGAGGAGGUCUCUGCAACAAGAAUGUGUGAAUUUCCAAGGUCAACCACACACUUCUCCUAGACACAACAUCGUUGUGAAAAACCACCCAGGCACCAUGGCGUUGGGGACAGACCACACACGGAGCAGCAGGCCCUGGACUGCUUGAGGGAGAGCUUGACCGAUGCCCGCCAAGGUGAGCAUCUCUCCAUCCGCUCCAGACCUCUUUUCUAGGAUUUGCCAUUCAUGCUGGUUCAUUACCCAUGUUCCUGGUGGAGAGUUCCGUGUGGUUUCAGUCUUUCACAGUUUAGACUUUACCGAAAGGAAGGGCGUAUUGAGAGCUGCACAAAAAAACGUCUUUUACUGUCUGGUUGGAUCAAUCUUGAUUUGCCAUUCCUGAUUCACUUGUCACGCGUAUGGUGUCAACUGAGCUUGGCGGUGCAGGCCUUGUCUCCAAAGAUUGAUGUGUGGAGGUGGUUCCUUUAUCUGAUGAGUACUAGAAUGGUGUGGUAUGCUUCAAUGUUAAUCUUUUUCUCUCCUGAGAACUGUACAAAUCACAGAGAUAUUCAUGCAUCUUGUAUUAUUGACAAUUACCGCGACAAGCAUACUCCGGACCCUGAUGUUCCCACGAAUACAGUUUGGGGCUUUCUUAGAAUCUAUUGAAAAUUUGGGAUUUGUUUACAUCGCUUCGAGAUAUUAGCCAGCCGGGGACAAAGCAAAGCAGCGACCAGCAAGUAGGCGAAGUCUAUUUAUAUUUCUUGUUGUAGGCGAAGUCUAAAAUUGCACAGUGGAAUGACUGGUUGCAGCCGCAAGCAGCGCAACCCACUGUUCACACCGUCUCCGCGCGUCGUGCCAUAAGUCGAUUGAUUUGUCCAUCUUUCUGGACAUUCAAUUUUUUCCUUUUGCAUUUAUCUCUCAGGUUUGGCCUAAACGCAGAGAUGGUGGGUGGCACAUGAUGCUAAUUGAGUUUUAUCUCUUCCUUAGGUUGAGUACAGGGAGUCACACGGAAGGACAACAGCCAGAGCGUCACUUCAUAUCCAUCCUUGCAAAAAAAGUUUGAUCCAACCAAGGUGCGAGGAUUUUAGAUUAUCAUGCAAAUCAACUACUAUCAGUUUGAUAUGUAUGAAAUCAGGGAUGACGAAAGUCCAGAUCAGUACAAUAUGCUCAUCUGAUCUGUGAGAUAAUUAUAGUAACCUUAUUCCUUUGUAUUAUCUUCAUACAAAAAAAGCAAAUUGAUUUCUGGUCCACCUCAAUUUUUCAACGUGCCUACCUCUCCCUGAGGUGGAAGAAAGAUAUCAGGGUAUCCUACUUUGAAAUACAUAACUUUGAGAAGGUUAGCUUUGCUUUUUGCCUGGUUGUCAAUUUAUUUAUUGAAAUGGUAAAGUGGACCUAUCCUUUUGCAAGUAGCUGAAAUUCUCCUUUUCUAGCCAAUUUAUUCUCCAGGGAAAUCCAUUUUCUUAUUUUAAUGAUUGGUUUUUGGAUUAAUGAUUCUACUUGGUAUGCUGAUAAAUAGUUGGGUUAAUAUCAUAUCAACAAUGAUUAUACACUGGAAUCUUACAAGGUGUUCUGUGAUGUUGCAAAAGAUCCUGACGUCUAGACUCUCCUUGGAUUGGUUUGGAUUCUGUCACCUGCAGUGGCAGGUUUCAAUGCCUCAUCAUUUGACAUACAUCAUUUAUCUUAAUACUCCCUCCAUUUCAAUCUAUAAUGCCUAUAGAUUUUCUGCAUUUGUUUCAUAAUAUAUGAGUAGAUCUGCGUUUAUUUGCAAAGAACUCCUUCCACCGAUCAGAUGAAUAGCAGAAAAUAAGGAAACCGAUCUGAUCCCGUGCAUAAAAUCUGGGAACUGAUUUACGGUACAACCUCCUAUAGGCAUUAUUGACUGAAAAUAAGGGGGUUUUGUGUUUAAAAAUGACUUGCGCUAAUUACCGUGCAGAAAAUCUAUAGGCAUUAUAGAUUGAAACGGAGGGAGUAUAUUUUACCUCAGUCAGUUGUUACCUAUUUAGUUCUGUUUUCACAGUAAAAUACAUAAUUAGCAUCAUCACUGACCCUGGUUGUUUGUUAAAAAAUGGUUCCUGACAGAGAGGCAAAAUAUAUCUUGGCCAAAUGAUAAGUGGUAAAAUAGUUUACCUCUCAAGUCAGUUUAAAUAAAAAGAAAGUUUGCCUGCAACUUAUCAAUGUAUUGGCCAAUGAGGGCUACGAGAAGAUAUUUUGCACACAAAAACUUAACACAAACUCGGUAACUGUAGAGUGGGUCUGCCUUUUGGCUGAAGCGUUUUCCAGCUUUCCUACUAUUUUUAUGAAAAUAUUCCAUUACUCCUACUACUUUUCUGAAAUCAUCCCAUUAAUCUUUGAUUUCUCUUCAUUGGGUAGCAUGUUGCUGUGUGAUGUCGUUCUGAAUUGGAAUUAAGAGGCAUACCCAUCCUUUCUUUUUAGUUGCAGUACUACCUAUUCUUUGAGGCACCGCGUCUGCAAGCGUGGCGCACCUGUCGAGACAGGAGCAAGCCGGCAGCGGCUCAAGUGAUGUUGACUGAUAGGGAGCGUGGCGCGUGACACACAAGUCAGGACAUGCUGCCUCAACGAUGGGGCUGUGGUGCAGAAUUCACUCUCUACUAAGGACAUCGUGUUUCCUGCUCAUUCUAGCGUUGGAGUUUCUCAUGGAAAUAGGCUUAAGAUAGCUGCCUCUGGAGUACAAGUGCAGCCAGUUGUUUGUACUGGGACCUUUUGAGAUUAUGUCAUGUCUGUAUAGAUGCUAUGGAGCUGUUUUAAUCAGUAUCUAUUGGAGAACAACUAUGCUUCUUUUGUUUCAAUAUUAUCUAUUAUUGUUCUGCUUGGUUCCUUUGGUAAUGAGAUAUCUUUUAUUAUAUAUAAUUGGCUUUUGCCUUGCUUUUCUAGAUUCAGUAUUUUUAUGUACUGUCUAAAACACGAAUCAAUCGGUUAUGCAACUAGAAAAUAAUAUUCAGUAGACUACGGUCACUUUCUCCUGAAACUUUUUCUCCUUUGUUUCCUUUAUUUUGAUGCUAUUUACUAAUAUGCGAGCACAAUAGUUCAACUGUUCAUAGCAAAAUAGUACGAUGCUCAAAUUGACACAAGUUAUAGCUCACUUUUCAGAUUUUGAUGUUUCUAGCGUUGCAGGGCAACAGAUAAGGCUGUAGAUAACACAUACCAGUGAGCUGAUGGAUCUGCUUGCAUUGCUCGGACCGGUCACUUCAAUCGUUCCCCCCUACUUCGUCUUCUGCUUCUCUCCAUCUGCCUGCUGCCUCCUACCAACGAUGGUGAUUCUUGGUGUUCUGCUGCUCUUCCUGCCACUACUUGGUACUACCGACCGGUCCUUCACGCUAUGCUACUCUCCAUCCCCCGUGCAGCCGCCUCGCCCCUUCCUUGGGAAACAGCACACCGUCCUCCUGCGUGCCAGUCUCUCCAUCCACCGCCGCCGCCGAAAUCGUCACCGAGGCGCAAAGCUGGGCCGCAGUGAUCGAGAGGAGGGAAGGCAGUAACAGUGUGCUGGGUGGAGGAGGCGUCGUCUGGUGGCUUGGUUGGCACAGAGCUCGCUGGCUCGAUGUCCAGAGUUUGCAUGCGGCCAAGCGUCACCGCUCUUCCUUCACGUUCCACGUGAGGCUUUUCUGGCCAUGUGUCCUUGAAGGCUUGGAUGGCAGGUUGAAUCCUCAGCAUCGAGGGGUGCGGCUGGUGGUUUCUUGCCAGGUGCAGCAGGUGGCAUCAGCGGCCGUCGGAAGCUGCACAGGACACGGAGGUAUCUUAUCGAUUGGUUGUUACUUGAUUUACUUUUUUUGUUUACAGCGGUACGUAAGUGGAAAUUCACUAUAUUGAACAUUAACUAUUCCUGUUCUUUUGUCAUUUGUAUGAUUAAUGUAUGAGUGAGAUAAAAGGACCUUGGUUGAAUUUCCGAGAAGC